AGGAUUCCCCUAGUAACUGCGAGUGAAGCGGGAAAAGCUCAAAUUUAAAAUCUGGCAGAUGUUUGUCUGUCCGAGUUGUAACCUAGAGAAGUGUAACCUGUGCUGGACCAUGUACAAGUCUCCUGGAAUGGAGCAUCAUAGAGGGUGAGAAUCCCGUCUUUGACAUGGACUACCAGUGCACUGUGGUUGCGCACUCAACGAGUCGAGUUGUUUGGGAAUGCAGCUCUAAAUGGGUGGUAAAUUCCAUCUAAAGCUAAAUAUUGGCGAGAGACCGAUAGCGAACAAGUACCGUGAGGGAAAGAUGAAAAGAACUUUGGAAAGAGAGUUAAACAGUAUGUGAAAUUGUUGAAAGGGAAACGCUUGAAGUCAGCUGCAUUGGCUGGGGAUCAAGCCAGCUUAUUUGCUGGGUGUACUUCCUGGUUGAUGGGCCAACAUCAGUUUUGACCAUCAGAGAAAGGCUAAGGGAAUGUGGCACCUU
rnacentral:rRNA from 1 species